rnacentral:rRNA from 1 species
UACGUAGGGUCCGAGCGUUGUCCGGAAUUACUGGGCGUAAAGCGCGCGCAGGCGGCCCGCGAGGUGUCACGUGAAAGCCCCGGGCUCAACCCGGGAGGGUCGUGGCAAACCGGCGGGCUUGAGGCCGGUAGAGGUGGGUGGAACUCCUGGUGGAGUGGUGAAAUGCGUAGAGAUCAGGAAGAACACCCGUGGCGAAGGCGGCCCACUGGGCCGGUACUGACGCUGAGGCGCGAAGGCGUGGGGAUCAAACCGG